UACGUAGGUGGCAAGCGUUGUCCGGAAUUAUUGGGCGUAAAGCGCGCGCAGGUGGUUCUUUAAGUCUGAUGUGAAAGCCCACGGCUCAACCGUGGAGGGUCAUUGGAAACUGGGGAACUUGAGUGCAGAAGAGGAUGGCGGAAUUCCCAGUGUAGAGGUGAAAUGCGUAGAGAUGUGGAGGAACACCAGUGGCGAAGGCGACUUUCUGGUCUGUAACUGACGCUGAGGCGCGAAAGCGUGGGGAGCAAACAGG
rnacentral:misc_RNA from 1 species